AAGUCGUAACAAGGUUUCCGUAGGUGAACCUGCGGAAGGAUCAUUAACACGUAUCCAAACGUUAAAACCCCCCCCGUGAACAUUCAAUCCUGCUCUUGUAACCCGCGGCGCUUGCAAUCUCUGGUAAAUCAAUGUGGAGAAAAUUGGAACAGUUACAAUUCGAGCGGUAGGUUUAUAGGCCUUGUUUCCCCAAGCAGUCAGUGUCUGAAAGCGUCAUUGAUUGUGCAAGGAUAGCGCUUCACGAUUCCUGUAGACCGUACACUCGGGCAGGAGCUAGGCCAAAGGGUCACCAUGCCCCCUUACAACCCCACAGUUUAUUGCAAAGCUCAAUGUAAUACAUUGGGUAAAAAAACUUGAACAACUGUUAACAAUGGAUAUCUUGGUUCUC
rnacentral:misc_RNA from 1 species